rnacentral:lncRNA from 1 species
UUAGACUCAGUAUUUACCCGAUAAAGCUGUCGGUACGCCGACAAAUGUCAGACCUUAUAAAAGGAAGAAAAGGCUACUGUAAGAGCAUGGAUGAGAUAUUUGAAAAAUGUAUAAAAAAAUUUCAAGUAUAGAAAAGGAACUAAAAGUAUGAUCACUGUGAUUAUGUGAUUAGACUAUUUGCUGACUGUAAUAGACAGUACUAUGUGUUAAGAUAUAUUGUUCUAAUCGAAUGAAUGAUCUGAUUAUUGAUAGGUUGUGAUAAAGAGAUAAAACAUAAGUUGAGAUUUGUAAUCAGCGAAUCAGGCAAGUAUCCUACCUUUGCAUUUCCUUUAUGCAAUGGACAUGAGUAAGAAGUUUCAGAAUUCUUUUCUAUUCAUGUACAGAUUAUGUACGCUUUGAUUAUCAACAUGUUA